GUAAGGUGUAGGAAUGUGCCAUAGUUCAUGAAGGAAGAUAAAGGCCUUGACACAGAGAUCUACUUUCCCCCUCAACGGUACCUGCCGUCAGAGCUGCAGACAAAUGAGAGGUGACGCUCGGCGGUCCAGCUUCUACCAGGAGACAGACAGACGGAGAGGAGGAGGAGGAAGAUCCCACUGAGCCCACGCCGGCCUGUAAUGAGACCCAACAUCCUGCCUGUUGCACUGAUUCCUUUACAAACUUUAACCUGCACAAGCACAUCAGCAGUCCUGAAAACAGCUUGCUGAGAGCAAAAAGACCAUCAGUGCAAAAUAUUCAUGCAUUUGAAAAGCAGGAAAUCACAUUCCUGCUCCCCAGAGGAUCAAACAUUUAGACUUUAAUGACCCCGUAAGACUCCAAGAAUAGUUUUUAUGCUCUGUGUCAUUUAAAUUGAUUUGUUUGGUGAGAACAUGGAUGGUUUUAGGCCUCAGGGUUUGUGUUUUGACCUACCAUGCUUGCAUAGAAGCCUUCAUAUAAAAAAUUAACUGGCUAAGUUUUAACAUGGAGGUCUGUGGGGACUGAGUCACUGCUGGAGCCUCCAACAGUGAGCAGUUUGGCUCCUGCUGCUGUGCAAGGUUACACCUGUUUAAUACCUGAGGCUAAAAGCACACCUCAGGUGUGUGAGGUAAUGAGGAACAGCGUCUGCAGAGUGUCAUUAAAUCUGCUUCUAUUUUAAUAUUCACUGGAUUUUUACCUUUGUUGGCUUCUCGGCAGCUUCUGUGUGCUCACUGCCAGUGGGCAGUCGAGGGAGUUAAACAGGGUCAAAGUUCACUGAACCAGGAAAACUUCAUUCAUUUCCUGCUGGAAUUCUGCCAACACACACACACACACUGACAUGCUUUCGGUUUCAUUGUUUGUGACAGUCGGGACAAAAACCCAGCGAGGCACAGCAGAGCUGUGGCUCUGUUGGCCUGUUCCUCUCACAUCCAUCCACACCUGUCAGUCAGUGCACCUGUCAGUCAGCCGGAGUGGGCGGGGUCAGACUUCAUGUCCUUCCAGGAGUUUUCUUCCACUGCAUAUGAGCUGUAGUUUGUCUCCCACUGCUCCUUUGUUAUAAACAAAA